GCCCCUGGAUGGACUCGGGCCUGUGUCCUGUGAGCACGGUCGCCUCUGCCCUAGACCAGAGCUGCGCCUCCCCCGGCCUAGGAGCAGCUGGGCAGGACACCGGGCUUUGGGUGACCUCAGGGCUGCCUGACCUGGGGGCCCUCCUGGCGUCCCAGUGUGACCGACAGCCCAGGCCAGGUUCUGCUGUAAUCGCUGUUUCUCCUUCACGCAGAACCUUUUCGGCAAGAUGGCCGACAUCCUGGAAAAGAUCAAGAACCGGAGAUCACACAGAAGCUGUACGUGGCACUCUGGGCCGCCUUCCUGGCCUCCUGCUUCUUCCCCUACCGCCUGGUGGGACUCGCCGUGGGUAAGGAGAUGCCCCUGCAGCCCGUGGCAUCAGGAGUGGGGACACAGGCGCCUGCAUGCCACCAGUGUCUGCUAGGUGUCUGCAAGAGCUGGAGAUGUUUCCUCUGGUUCUUGUCAAAACGUUUCAGUUUGGGGAAGUGAAGCCCGGGACUGGUGAUAGUUUCUUAAAUCAAGCUUGCCCUCCGCUUCCAAGGGCCUCGAGUCUCUGCCAUGUGGGAGGAGCUGCAGGACCCAAGACGGGCUAGCAGGCCCUGGGGAUGUCAGGGAGCUGCCCUGGGCAGGACACGCCUCUGGGGGCAUCUGUGGGCUCAGGGGUGACAGUUGCAGGGAGCCUGAGUGCCUGGUUUGAGGUGCAGGGCGGUUGGUUGUAACUCAUGAGUUUGGUGAUAGCGCGUGAAGCCAAGGGUCACAUCUGCUAAAUCACUCAUCUGCAGAGCUGGAGGUGGGUGGGGUGUGGCGGCCCCUUCUCACCCCAGGAGGUGCUCAUCCCGUCCCACCCCUCGUGCUGUCUGCCCUUCCUUUCCCUCUUCCCUCCCUUCUCUUUUUCUUUUUUCCUCAUUAACAAUGAUCCAGUGCCUGAUGUGGGCUACACAGUGGCAUGUGGGAGCGAGGCCACCAGGGUCCUGUCCUCGAGGGGCAGGUGGGGCUUGCCUGAGGCCAAGCAGGACAGCGCAUAUCGUCGCAGGAGCCGCAAAGCCAGGGGUGGGGAGAGCUCCGUGCUGGAGUCGGGAGGUCAGACCCGGCCCCUCAGCAGUCUGGGGUUGGCAUGCCACUUAGAGGAGCAGUGUGGGGCUGUGCCUGUGUGGAAGAGCACAUGCCCCUGCCACUUUUCCUGAAUGCCUUUGCUGUAAUACAGCCUGACCCUAGCCCUGAGCCAGCAUAACUGCUAGCAGGAGGACGGGCCUCUCGGGACUCAGCGGGGCUGGGCGCUCCAACAGAGCUCACUGUGCCAUCAGGUGCCAGCACCAGGAGGAAGCAGAGCCAGAUUUGUUCAGACCCUUACCC
rnacentral:lncRNA from 13 species